GACGAACGCUGGCGGCGUGCUUAACACAUGCAAGUCGAGCGGAGCGGCGCACGGGUGAGUAACGCGUUAGUAACUGCCCCCCUCUCUGGGAUAACAGUUGGAAACGGCUGCUAAUACCGGAUAGUGGGGGAUGACUCGCGUCCUAUCAGAUGGUUGGUGGGGUAGUGGCCUACCAAGGCGACGACGGGUAGCCGGCCUGGGCGGGCGACCGGCGACAGUGUGAUGAGAUACGGCCCAAACUCCUACGGGAGGCAGCAGGGGGGAAUAUGGCACAAUCGUGGAAACCCGGAGGCAGAAACGCCGCGUGCGGGAUGACGGCCUUCGGGUUGUAAACCGCGUUCAGCCAUGACGCGGUAGUUGCAGAAGAAGCACCGGCUAACUACGUGCCAGCAGCCGCGGUAAUAC
rnacentral:rRNA from 1 species